rfam:Proteiniclasticum ruminis strain ML2 genome assembly, contig: Ga0073291_117
GGGAGCAUAGCUCAGCUGGGAGAGCAUCUGCCUUACAAGCAGAGGGUCACAGGUUCGAUCCCUGUUGUUCCCA